GGACUACCGGGGUAUCUAAUCCUGUUUGCUCCCCACACUUUCGAGUUUCAGCGUCAGUCGUGGUCCAGUAAGCCGUCUACACCGCAGGUGUUCCUCCUGAUAUCUACGCAUUUCACCGCUACACCAGGAAUUCCGCCUACCUCUCCCACACUCUAGCACUACAGUCUUCGGCGCACCCUCCCAGUUAAGCCAGGAGAUUUCACACCAAACUUAUAGCACCGCCUACACUCGCUUUACGCCCAGUAAUUCCGAACAACGCUUGCUGCCUACGUAUUACCGCGGCUGCUGGCAC
rnacentral:rRNA from 1 species